rnacentral:rRNA from 1 species
GUGAAAACCUGAGGCUCAACCUCAGGCCUGCAUUCGAUACGGGCAAACUAGAGUUUGGUAGGGGAGACUGGAAUUCCUGGUGUAGCGGUGGAAUGCGCAGAUAUCAGGAGGAACACCAAUGGCGAAGGCAGGUCUCUGGGCCAAUACUGACACUGAGGAGCGAAAGUCUGGGGAGCGAACAGGAUUAGAUACCCUGGUAGUCCAGACCGUAAACGGUGGGCACUAGUUGUGGGAACCUUCCACGGUUUCUGCGACGCAGCUAACGCAUUAAGUGCCCCGCCUGGGGAGUACGAUCGCAAGAUUAAAACUCAAAGGAAUUGACGGGGCCCCGCACAAGCAGCGGAGCAUGCGGCUUAAUUCGACGCAACGCGAAGAACCUUACCAAGGCUUGACAUAUAGGGAAAAGUGGCAGAGAUGUCAUGUCCGCAAGGGCUCUAUACAGGUGGUGCAUGGUUGUCGUCAGCUCGUGUCGUGAGAUGUUGGGUUAAGUCCCGCAACGAGCGCAACCCUCGUUCUGUGUUGCCAGCAUUUAGUUGGGGACUCACAGGAGACUGCCGGGGUUAACUCGGAGGAAGGUGGGGAUGACGUCAAAUCAUCAUGCCCCUUAUGUCUUGGGCUGCACGCAUGCUACAAUGGCCGGUACAGAGGGCUGCAAUACCGUAAGGUGGAGCGAAUCCCAAAAAGCCGGUCUCAGUUCGGAUUGGGGUCUGCAACUCGACCCCAUGAAGUCGGAGUUGCUAGUAAUCGUAGAUCAGCAACGCUACGGUGAAUACGUUCCCGGGGCUUGUACACACCGCCCGUCACGUCACGAAAGUCGGUAACACCCGAAGUCAGUGGCCCAACCGUAAGGGGGGAGCUGCCGAAGGUGGGAUCGGUGAUUGGGACG